GAUGAACGCUGGCGGCGUGCCUAACACAUGCAAGUCGAACGAACCUGAUCCUCGGAAAAGGUUAGUGGUGCACGGGUGAGUAACACGUAGGUGACCUGCCCUGGAGUGGGGGAUAACUUCUCGAAAGAGAGGCUAAUACCGCAUACGCUCGGCCAUUCAGUUGGUCGAGUAAAGCUCCGGCGCUCCAGGAGGGGCCUGCGUCCGAUUAGCUAGUUGGUGAGGUAAUGGCUCACCAAGGCGAUGAUCGGUAGCUGGUCUGAGAGGACGAUCAGCCACACUGGCACUGACACACGGGCCAGACUCCUACGGGAGGCAGCAGUGAGGAAUAUUGGUCAAUGGGCGAAAGCCUGAACCAGCAACGCCGCGUGAGGGAUGAAGGCCUUCGGGUCGUAAACCUCUUUUCUGGGAGAAGAGACAAGGACGGUAUCCCAGGAAUAAGUCUCGGCUAACUACGUGCCAGCAGCCGCCGUAAUAC
rnacentral:rRNA from 1 species